UACAGAGGUCCCAAGCGUUGUUCGGAUUCACUGGGCGUAAAGGGUGCGCAGGUGGGUUGGCAAGUUUGACGUGAAAGCCCCGGGCUUAACCCGGGAAUGGCGUUGAAAACUGCUGAUCUGGAGGAUCGGAGGGGGGACUGGAAUUCUUGGUGUAGCAGUGAAAUGCGUAGGUAUCAAGAGGAACACCAGUGGCGAAGGCGAGUCCCUGGACGAUACCUGACACUGAGCACGAAAGCCAAGGGAGCAAACAGG
rnacentral:rRNA from 1 species